UCCCUUGUGGCUCAGCUGGUAAAGCAACUGCCUGCAAUGCAGUAGAUCUGAGUUCAAUCCCUGGGUUGGGAA
rnacentral:tRNA from 1 species